ensembl:lncRNA
GCCCUGGCUGUCACAGGCUAAUAGCACCAGCUGCUUUCCAUUGCCCUAAGGAGUGAUUCUACUGCUGCAACGAGACCAAAUACAACGAAAGUAUUGAUGCUGCAAAAGAAGACGGAUCUUUUGGUAGGCUGGUUAAUGAUGACCACAAGCACCCAAAUGGCAGAAUGCAGAAGACUGAAGUGGAUGGAAGCCCACAUCUUGGUCUGUUUGCUUUAACAGACUUUAAAGAAGGUAAAACAUCUACUCUGAAAAAGAGGAAGGCUCGGGAAGGAAAUGAGGUCCAUGCAGUGGAGAGACAUAUGAAGACCUUCAUCAUGUCAUGUCGUGUCCCAGGGAAGUUGGUCUGUGAAAACUGCAUUAGAUCUGAGUCUUUAUAUCUUAAAGAUAGAGACUGGCAAAGUGUCAAAUUCUACGUCUAUAACUGCACUGUAGCUUACAAAAGAGAUAUAAACAAAGAUUAAAUAACACUUUGAUAGUAACACUUUACAUCUAUAUUACAGAUACUGUACAUCAUAACAUCUGUAGUAAUGCUUUAAUAAUAAGUUACGUUACACCUCUAGCCUUUUACUUUGUAAUGAACCGCUCAGCAUUUACUUCAUAAUAAACUAAUCAGGAACAAAUCAGGCAUUUAAAAUAUCCAUUAGAAUCUUUACCUACACCGUUAUAUUGAAUUAGAUCAAAUUGGUUUGGGCCG